UACGUAGGGGGCAAGCGUUGUCCGGAUUUAUUGGGCGUAAAGAGCUCGUAGGUGGUUUGGUAAGUCGGAUGUGAAAUCUCCAGGCUCAACCUGGAGGGGUCAUUCGAUACUGCCAUGACUAGAGGUCGGUAGGGGAGUGUGGAAUUCCUGGUGGAGCGGUGAAAUGCGUAGAUAUCUGGAGGAACACCGGUGGCGAAGGCGGCAUCCUGGACCAAUAUUGACGCUGAGGAGCGAAAGCUAGGGGAGCAAACGGG
rnacentral:rRNA from 1 species